rnacentral:rRNA from 1 species
GAUCAUGGCUCAGGACGAACGCUGGCGGCGUGCUUAACACAUGCAAGUCGAACGAUGACGGUGGUGCUUGCACCGCCUGAUUAGUGGCGAACGGGUGAGUAACACGUGAGUAACCUGCCCUCCACUUCGGGAUAACCUCGGGAAAUCGUGGCUAAUACCGGAUAUGAGCACUCAUCGCAUGGUGGGUGUUGGAAAGAUUUAUCGGUGGGGGAUGGACUCGCGGCCUAUCAGUUUGUUGG